rnacentral:rRNA from 2 species
GGAUUAGGCAUGCAAGUCGAACGAGGGAGCGUCCCGAAAGGGAUGCAAACCGAGUGGCGUAAGGGUGAGUAAUGCAUUGAUAACCUACCUCCAAGAUGGGAAUAACAACGUUCCAAGCGAUUGGGGCUACCGAAAGGGUUGCUAAUACUCAAUAAAAUUAUUGUUGCUUCGGCAAUAAUAGUCAAAUAGGAGGAAUCGAAAGGUUCCGCUUGCUUGAAGAGGGGUCAAUGUCCUAUCAGCUAGUUGGUGGGGUAAUAGCCUACCAAGGCGAAGACGGGUAGCCGGCCUGAGAGGGUGGUCGGCCACACUGGGACUGAGAUACUGCCCAGACUCCUACGGGAGGCUGCAGUCGAGAAUCUUUCGCAAUGCCCGAAAGGGUGACGAAGCGACGCCGCGUGCGGGAGGAAGGCCUUCGGGUUGUAAACCGCUGUCGGGAGUUAAGAAAUGCAAGGAUGUUAAUAGCGUUCUUGCUUGACUAAGGCUCCGGAGGAAGCCACGGCUAACUCUGUGCCAGCAGCCGCGGUAAUACAGAGGCGGCAAGCGUUGUUCGGAAUUAUUGGGCGUAAAGAGCACGUAGGCGGCUGUGUAAGUCGGUUGUGAAAGCCUUCCGCUCAACGGAAGAACGGCAUCCGAUACUGCAUGGCUUGAGUGUGGGAGGGGAGAGUGGAACUUCUGGUGGAGCGGUGAAAUGCGUAGAUAUCAGAAGGAACACCGGCGGCGAAGGCGACUCUCUGGUCCAUAACUGACGCUGAGUGUGCGAAAGCUAGGGGAGCAAACGGGAUUAGAUACCCCGGUAGUCCUGGCCGUAAACGAUGGGCACUAAGUAGAGGGGUUUU